rnacentral:rRNA from 1 species
UGGCGGCAGGCCUAACACAUGCAAGUCGAGCGGUAGCACAGAGAGCUUGCUCUCGGGUGACGAGCGGCGGACGGGUGAGUAAUGUCUGGGAAACUGCCUGAUGGAGGGGGAUAACUACUGGAAACGGUAGCUAAUACCGCAUAACGUCGCAAGACCAAAGUGGGGGACCUUCGGGCCUCAUGCCAUCAGAUGUGCCCAGAUGGGAUUAGCUAGUAGGUGGGGUAACGGCUCACCUAGGCGACGAUCCCUAGCUGGUCUGAGAGGAUGACCAGCCACACUGGAACUGAGACACGGUCCAGACUCCUACGGGAGGCAGCAGUGGGGAAUAUUGCACAAUGGGCGCAAGCCUGAUGCAGCCAUGCCGCGUGUGUGAAGAAGGCCUUCGGGUUGUAAAGCACUUUCAGCGGGGAGGAAGGCGGUGAGGUUAAUAACCUCAUCGAUUGACGUUACCCGCAGAAGAAGCACCGGCUAACUCCGUGCCAGCAGCCGCGGUAAUACGGAGGGUGCAAGCGUUAAUCGGAAUUACUGGGCGUAAAGCGCACGCAGGCGGUCUGUCAAGUCGGAUGUGAAAUCCCCGGGCUCAACCUGGGAACUGCAUUCGAAACUGGCAGGCUAGAGUCUUGUAGAGGGGGGUAGAAUUCCAGGUGUAGCGGUGAAAUGCGUAGAGAUCUGGAGGAAUACCGGUGGCGAAGGCGGCCCCCUGGACAAAGACUGACGCUCAGGUGCGAAAGCGUGGGGAGCAAACAGGAUUAGAUACCCUGGUAGUCCACGCCGUAAACGAUGUCGAUUUGGAGGUUGUGCCCUUGAGGCGUGGCUUCCGGAGCUAACGCGUUAAAUCGACCGCCUGGGGAGUACGGCCGCAAGGUUAAAACUCAAAUGAAUUGACGGGGGCCCGCACAAGCGGUGGAGCAUGUGGUUUAAUUCGAUGCAACGCGAAGAACCUUACCUGGUCUUGACAUCCACAGAACUUUCCAGAGAUGGAUUGGUGCCUUCGGGAACUGUGAGACAGGUGCUGCAUGGCUGUCGUCAGCUCGUGUUGUGAAAUGUUGGGUUAAGUCCCGCAACGAGCGCAACCCUUAUCCUUUGUUGCCAGCGGUCCGGCCGGGAACUCAAAGGAGACUGCCAGUGAUAAACUGGAGGAAGGUGGGGAUGACGUCAAGUCAUCAUGGCCCUUACGACCAGGGCUACACACGUGCUACAAUGGCAUAUACAAAGAGAAGCGACCUCGCGAGAGCAAGCGGACCUCAUAAAGUAUGUCGUAGUCCGGAUUGGAGUCUGCAACUCGACUCCAUGAAGUCGGAAUCGCUAGUAAUCGUAGAUCAGAAUGCUACGGUGAAUACGUUCCCGGGCCUUGUACACACCGCCCGUCACACCAUGGGAGUGGGUUGCAAAAGAAGUAGGUAGCUUAACCUUCGGGAGGGCGCUUACCACUU